UUUGGGCUACGGUAGCCAAGAUAUACC
rnacentral:sRNA from 1 species